UACGUAGGGGGCUAGCGUUGUCCGGAUUUAUUGGGCGUAAAGAGCGUGUAGGCGGCCAGGUAGGUCUGCUGUGAAAGCUCGAGGCUCAACCUCGAGACGUCGGCGGAAACCAUCUGGCUAGAGUCCGGAAGAGGAGAGUGGAAUCCUGGUGUAGCGGUGAAAUGCGCAGAUAUCAGGAAGAACACCCGUGGCGAAGGCGGCUCUCUGGGACGGUACUGACGCUGAGACGCGAAAGCGUGGGGAGCGAACAGG
rnacentral:rRNA from 1 species